GGGCCCGUAGCUUAGCAUGGUUAGAGCGCCCGGCUGAUAACUUCUGUCAGAGACCGGGAGGUCGAGGGUUCAAAUCCCUCCGGGCCCA
rnacentral:tRNA from 1 species